AACUGCGCGGCUUAAACAUGCAAGUCGAGCGGUAACAGGGGUAGCUUGCUACCCGCUGACGAGCGGCGGACGGGUGAGUAAUGCUUAGGAAUCUGCCCAGUAGUGGGGGAUAGCCCGGGGAAACCCGGAUUAAUACCGCAUACGUCCUACGGGAGAAAGCAGGGGAUCUUCGGACCUUGCGCUAUUGGAUGAGCCUAAGUCGGAUUAGCUAGUUGGUGGGGUAAAGGCCUACCAAGGCGACGAUCCGUAGCUGGUCUGAGAGGAUGAUCAGCCACAUCGGGACUGAGACACGGCCCGAACUCCUACGGGAGGCAGCAGUGGGGAAUAUUGGACAAUGGGGGCAACCCUGAUCCAGCCAUGCCGCGUGUGUGAAGAAGGCUUUCGGGUUGUAAAGCACUUUCAGUAGGGAGGAAAACCUUAUGGCUAAUACCCAUGAGGCUUGACGUUACCUACAGAAGAAGCACCGGCUAACUCCGUGCCAGCAGCCGCGGUAAUACGGAGGGUGCAAGCGUUAAUCGGAAUUACUGGGCGUAAAGCGCGCGUAGGUGGUUUGGUAAGCGAGAUGUGAAAGCCCCGGGCUUAACCUGGGAACGGCAUUUCGAACUGUCAGACUAGAGUGUGGUAGAGGGUAGUGGAAUUUCCUGUGUAGCGGUGAAAUGCGUAG
rnacentral:rRNA from 1 species